UGGGGAAUAUUGGACAAUGGGCGCAAGCCUGAUCCAGCCAUGCCGCGUGAGUGAUGACGGCCCUAGGGUUGUAAAGCUCUUUCGUCAGGGACGAUAAUGACGGUACCUGAAGAAGAAGCCCCGGCUAACUUCGUGCCAGCAGCCGCGGUAAUACGAAGGGGGCUAGCGUUGUUCGGAAUCACUGGGCGUAAAGCGCACGUAGGCGGGUCGUUAAGUCGGGGGUGAAAUGCCAAGGCUCAACCUUGGAACUGCCUUCGAUACUGGCGAUCUCGAGUCCGGGAGAGGUGAGUGGAACUCCGAGUGUAGAGGUGAAAUUCGUAGAUAUUCGGAAGAACACCAGUGGCGAAGGCGGCUCACUGGCCCGGUACUGACGCUGAGGUGCGAAAGCGUGGGGAGCAAACAG
rnacentral:rRNA from 1 species